rnacentral:rRNA from 1 species
GACGAACGCUGGCGGCGUGCCUAAUACAUGCAAGUCGAACGCAGUGGGGACGGGUGAGUAACACGUGGGUAACCUCCCAUCAGAGAGGAUAACACUUGGAAACAGGUGCUAAACCGAUACUGAUGGAUGGACCCGCGGUGCAUUAGCUAGUUGGUGAGGUAACGGCUCACCAAGGCCACGAUGCAUAGCCGGCCCUAGGGGGGGAGUGGGCACACUGGGACUGAGGAACGGGCCAGACUCCUACGGGAGGGAGGCGGAGGGAAGCUUCGGCCAUUGGCGAAAGUCUGACCGAGCCACCGCGCGGUAGUGAAGAAGGGUUUCGGAUCGUAAAACUCUGUUGUUAGAGAAGCGGUAUCUAACCAGAAAGCCACGGCUAACUACGUGCCAGCAGCCGCGGUAAUUC